CAGAGAACUGAUGGGAACGGGCCUGAGAUGACACGGCCACCUCCCCUCGAGGUCAAGGCUGCAGCAAAGGGAACCAGAGAGGGUGGCUGGAUCUCGGUUGCUAGGACGGACCCGACCCCACUUCCCCCUUCUCCGCAUCCUCCGGGCCUCCCCAGCGGGAACCCAGAAUACGUGCCAGGGGCCGGGGCCUGCGUGUGCUGGAAUCAGGGGUGACCCACCAAGAACAAUGAUCAAGGCAAGCAAUGAGCCCUGCCUGGAGCCAGCAGUAUGGCGACCACAACCGUAAGAGAUGGCCCCGCAGAUCUUCAACAGACCCUACUAACUACUAAUAGAAGCCAAGGCCCCAACGUCAGCCUGGAAUCCGAACCCCAGCCCGCUCCUCCAUGCCUUUACAAAUAUCUGCUGAACUGGACUCUCUGCUAGAUCGUGUUUUUUCUUGAAAAAGCAGCCCACAGAUAAAUCUGCUUUGCA